rnacentral:lncRNA from 1 species
AGGUGACUGGCAGCCACCUGUCCAUCCCCCAAGACCGGAAAGGCAGCAAUAGCCCCCGGGAGCCCAGGGCUGUCCUCGGGUAAUGUUUUGUGUGGCUCCUAGAAAUCCAGGUCCACACUAGAUGGUGGGAUCUGUGUCUAGGUUAAACUGAUAGCUGCAUACCCCCCGACCCCCGCCGCCUCCACCUUCUGCACCCCAGGGAGAGAGGGUGCCUCCUUUCCAUUGAGGAUUCUGUGCCAACCCACCUCGCCACUGGGCUGCAGGCUAUGGGGGCUACUAAGGGUUGGGGGAGACAGGGAGGACAGGGAGAGAGGAGGCCAGAAUUGACUAACCAUUUAUCUUCCUCUGGUGUCUCCUGGACUAGUGCAUCCGGCUGCAGAGGGAAAUUGAGGACCUUAGAGACCAACUAGCGGCCAUGCAGUUCCUCACUGACAAGUUCCAGGACCUUUGAAGUUGGAGCCAGCAUCUUCCUACAAGAUGAACAGCUGCCACCUUUGGAGCUCCGGAGCUGCAGCCAAGCGGGUUCCCUCCAUAUCCUGUUCAGCCAGGGCUUCCUCUCUUCCUCUGCAUUUGCACACUUCCCAACGCAGUUCAAAGCAAUUUGAAAUAAAGUCGUUCUCAUA